rnacentral:misc_RNA from 1 species
GAUGAAGAACGUAGCGAAAUGCGAUAAGUAGUGUGAAUUGCAGAAUUCAGUGAAUCAUCGAAUCUUUGAACGCACAUUGCGCCUCCUGGUAUUCCGGGAGGCAUGCCUGUUCGAGCGUCAUUAAAAUCACUCAAGCUUAGGUUUACCUAUUGCUUGGUCUUGGAGAUGGAAGUCAAUUUAUUGGAAUCCUCUUCGAAAUUCAAUGGCGAAGACCCUUGCUCUCCCAAGUGUAGUAAUAACUUAUGUCACUGAAGGAAGCGAGAAAUCUUCUGCCGUAACCCCCAUAUUUUCUAUGAUUGACCUCGGAUCAGGUAGGGAUACCCGCUGAACUUAAGCAUAUCAAUAAGCGGAGGA